rnacentral:rRNA from 1 species
GUGGGUUUCUAUACCACCCUGAACACGCCAGAUCUCGUCUGACCUUGGAAACUAAGUAGGGCCGGGCCUGGUUAGUGUUUGGAUGGGAGAGAGGAUUUCAUU